AUACGGAGGGUGCAAGCGUUAAUCGGAAUUACUGGGCGUAAAGCGUACGUAGGCGGUUUAUUAAGUCAGAUGUGAAAGCCCCGGGCUUAACCUGGGAACUGCAUUGGAAACUAGUAGACUAGAGUAUGGUAGAGGGGGGUAGAAUUCCUAGUGUAGCGGUGAAAUGCGUAGAUAUUAGGAGGAAUACCAGUGGCGAAGGCGGCCCCCUGGACCAAUACUGACGCUGAGGUACGAAAGCGUGGGGAGCGAACAGGAUUAGAUACCCGAGUAGUCC
rnacentral:rRNA from 1 species